rnacentral:lncRNA from 1 species
GAACUCAUCGUGCACUGGAGAAAGGGUAGAGAUGAACUGGUACCUCUUACUGUCAGAGUAGUGUGGGUUAUACAAUUGAAAGAGCUUCCUGACAGGGACCCUUAGAACCCACCCAAGGGAGGCAGUGCACAGUCCAUCUUGGACAGAGUGAACAGUGGGCAAGGAAACUAGUACUGAGAAAGGAUGUUUCUCCCUCCAGGACCUUGGGAACUGUAAGGCUUUGCCAUUUUUAAAUCCAGUAGAAGUGUUAUCAAAGCCAACAGUUCUGAGUUGACCAAAAUCUAGCCCCUUACACACACAGCAGACUUACCCAUCCUCAUGAAAAUCCAACCACAGAGCCCUGGCAGUUUUCUGCAGAAGCAUUCAGCCUUACUGUAGGCAGCCAGCCUCCCUUACAGCUAGUAUUUCCAAGUGCCUGUGAAGCUCUAGCUGCUAUCAGUUUCCAGUAUUGUUUUCCCCAUCAGGCAUGUUCACCAGAGCAAGCCUUAGCCCUACCUUUCACACAUGGUGGAUUAGCCAGAGGCUACUACCUCUUGAACAGACAGAUCUGGGAAUUAGCUGCUGGCAGCAAGACAUGAGCAGACUGACCCCACACCCUCCUCACCAUGGCAAGCGCUGACAGCAAAGCCAAUUCGCUUUCGGGCUCGAUCAAAGACCACAUAGAAGCCUUCCAUGAUGACCGCUCCCAUAACGGUGCCUGUGGAUGACUGUGAGACGGCGAACUUGUAACAGUCGUCUUGGGACGUGGCCACAUCUUCCACUGGCCGUAGGUAUUGCUGGGGGAAACAAUCACAGGAUGAGAGCAUGUCUUAUUCUGUCCUGCCUUUCUCUGCCUUUUAGUCACCUACACUUUGCUCUUCCUCAAGCCCUGAGAUGUUGACUUUUCCGCAACCCCUUUAUCAGCACACAUUCAUUUGUCUUUCAAGUUGUAGUAGCCAUGUCUCUUUACAUACUUUGUCUGCUUCUUGGCACUCCGCUGCCUCAGCUUGGGGACAUACCUGAGGAAGGAUGGUGAUGCGGAAGGACUGAUUGGUGACUUCACCCAUGAGGUAAAGUGAAAUGACUGGGAAAAUGUUCCAAGGGGUCGUGCCUGCUUGCCAGCACACCAGCUGCUCCCCUAGCCAAAAGCCAUCCGGGAACUUCUCCGUCUGUUGACAAGAGAGAACUGUGAAGAAUCGGCCUGCCCCACCAUCUUUUCUCUUAUGUUCAGAAUUGCAGGGACAGUUACCACUGUUUGCUUUUCCAGGGAAUUUUCCAAAGUGGCCAAGGUAAACUGAAGUCUAAGGAUCAGUAGAAGAAAGUGGGUCACUGGGCUCAUAAAGUUGUGCUAGGGUGACUGGAUGUGGCAGCUCACACUGCCUAUAGUCCCAGAAUUUGGAAGGCUGAGGCAUGAAGUUGUCAAGUUCAAAGCUAACCUGGGCUACAUUCAUGACCCUGUCUCAAAAAAGAAAAAGAAAAUGUAUCGGCCAAGUCAACAGACAGCAGUGUGCAAACGCUGACGGGAAGGAUCUACGAUCUUUGGUGCUUGCUGAGGCCCGUGACGGUCACUGACUCUGACUCUGUUUCACCCGCCCUGAGUCCACUGACCGAGGAGGCUGCCUUGAUGGACUUGACUGCAGCUUCAAAUACUUUCUUGGGCAAACGAAGGUUGGUGGUGCCACUGUCCACGAUGCUCUUGUCAUAGUUGUACUGAGGAGAGAAAGGGGAGGAGUUGGGAGAGGUGACUGACAGCUAAGCAUCCUACGGAGGUUGGCAUCUUAGCGUUUCCAUUUUGAACGUAUUUGUGUGCCUCCUUGGGCACGUUGCUUACUUAACCUCUGUGUACCUGUUUUAUUCUGAAUUGAAGGUAGUAACAAUGCCUACCUCAAAGGUUAUCAUAAGGAUUAAACAAAUCAAAAGGCUGAAAGUACUAAGUAGGUCCUGGCAGAUCCCAGGCACUUGGUAAGUACUAACUUCAUUCAUUACCUUGUGUGGGUAGGUGCUCUCCAAUCUGAAACAGAGGUGCCUUGUGUGGUGUUUGUACCUCUAGUACCUUUACGUCGUCGUUCUCAUACACCAUGCAUCGUGAUGGACAGAAGGGUGGCUCGGCAGGCAUAGAGCCUGGGCUUGACCUCUGAGACUGCAUGGUGGAAUAUGCCCAUAGAGCACUUGAGAGUCAGAGAGGAGGACCAGGAGUUCAAGCAAGUCUGAGGCCAGUGUGGGCUACAUGAGACCCUGCCUCAAAAAAGCCUGAAAUGGGGGCUGAUGAGAUAGCAGGUAAGGGCACCUGCUACCAAGUAUGAUCUGAGUUCAACCCCAGGGAGACUCACUAAUUGAAAAUUGUCCUCUGACCUCCACACACAAGCUGUGGCACAUGCCCUAUCCUCACCCUAAUAAGUAUAAAAAAAACCUAGGGAAAGAGACCCCAAAUAUUGGCAUUUGGGGUGUGCCAAGCAUAAGAACUAACACUUCGUACAUCAGCUUCGACCUUCACAGUCUCUGAAAAAGUGUGUGUAUCCUUACCUCUGCUUUGUAGAUGAGGAGUCUGGCACUGCAGCGAGGAGCCCAAAGGCACUUAGUAACAGCAGGACUCAGUCAGGUCCUCGCAGAAGCCUUGCCCGGAGCCGCCAGAGGUAGCGACUAGAGUCCAGAAGGGAACUCUUCUGUGUUUUCAUUACUGUACUUAAGCUCUAUGCUCAGGUUCUGUGAUGGCUCUGCAGGCCCUGCCCUUCACCUUAGGGAGUGCUGUGUGAUUGCCAACUUUCUGCCUUGGCACAGCCCUAACCUCAGCCCAGGUCCUGUGCCUCCACCCUCUCCUCCACCCUCAUGGUUCUCUCACACUGGGAUUAACCUCUUACUCUCACUGGGUCCCCUUCCAGUUUAUUACCUCCUUGCAGUCCAUUUUCAGAUCUUGACCAUUGAUUUCUACACGUACAAUGAUCACUUCAUAAUACCACUCCCGCCGGAUGGGUGUGUACCAGAGACUGCCAGUGUAUAGGGAAUGGUCGAUACCACCAAUGAUCUAAAAGAAAAAGAGACAGACACUAUGUCCUAGCACAGGAGAGCAGGUUACCCAAAACCAAAUGAUAAGAUCAGCCAUUUCUUGGGGUGUCAAGAUUCUCUCUAAUCUUCCAUCAUGCCCCAUGCAUGGUAAUGUUUAGUUUCUUAAAUGUGUUCAGAAGAAACACAUCAGAUUAUUUGUAUCAAAAUCUAUAAUCCUUGACAGGAAGUUAUUUAAACCUAAGCCAGUACAAUAAACGUGGAAUGAACAAAUUCUAUGCUGCUUUCAUAUCGUUUUGUCUUUGCCUGUUGGAGAACCACUCAUUACUGUCCUGUCCUAAUCAAUAAAUGGGUUUGAACUG